AGGGAUGGAGGCCUUCGGGUUGUGAACCUCUUUCGCCAGUGAAGCAGGCCUGCUCCUUUGUGGGUGGGUUGACGGUAGCUGGAUAAGAAGCGCCGGCUAACUACGUGCCAGCAGCCGCGGUAAUACGUAGGGCGCGAGCGUUGUCCGGAAUUAUUGGGCGUAAAGAGCUCGUAGGCGGCUGGUCGCGUCUGUCGUGAAAUCCUCUGGCUUAACUGGGGGCUUGCGGUGGGUACGGGCCGGCUUGAGUGCGGUAGGGGAGACUGGAACUCCUGGUGUAGCGGUGGAAUGCGCAGAUAUCAGGAAGAACACCGGUGGCGAAGGCGGGUCUCUGGGCCGUUACUGACGCUGAGGAGCGAAAGCGUGGGGAGCGAACAGGAUUAGAUACCCUGGUAGUCCACGCCGUAAACGUUGGGCACUAGGUGUGGGGGGCCUUUUCCGGGUCUUCCGCGCCGUAGCUAACGCAUUAAGUGCCCCGCCUGG
rnacentral:rRNA from 1 species